GACGAACGCUGGCGGCGUGCUUAACACAUGCAAGUCGUACGGUAAGGCCCUUUCGGGGGUACACGAGUGGCGAACGGGUGAGUAACACGUGAGUAACCUGCCCACAACUUUGGGAUAACGCUAGGAAACUGGUGCUAAUACUGGAUAUGUGCUCCUGCUGCAUGGUGGGGGUUGGAAAGCUCCGGCGGUUGUGGAUGGACUCGCGGCCUAUCAGCUUGUUGGUGGGGUAGUGGCCUACCAAGGCGGCGACGGGUAGCCGGCCUGAGAGGGUGACCGGCCACAUUGGGACUGAGAUACGGCCCCGACUCCUACGGGAGGCAGCAGUGGGGAAUAUUGCUCAAUGGGCGCAAGCCUGAUGCAGCAACGCCGCGUGCGGGAUGACGGCCUUCGGGUUGUAAACCGCUUUCAGCAGGGACGAAGCUUUUUGUGACGGUACCUGCAGAAGAAGCACCGGCUAACUACGUG
rnacentral:rRNA from 1 species